UUCCGGUUGAUCCUGCCGGACCUGACUGCUAUCGGAUUGAUACUAAGCCAUGCGAGUCAUUGUAGCAAUACAAGGCAGACGGCUCAGUAACGCGUAGUCAACCUACCCUAUGGACGGGGAUAACCUCGGGAAACUGAGAAUAAUACCAGAUAGAACAUUAUGCCUGGAAUGGUUUAUGUUUCAAAUAAUUUAUUGCCGUAGGAUGGGACUGCGGCCUAUCAGUUUGUUGGUGAGGUAAUGGCCCACCAAGACUAUUACAGGUACGGGCUCUGAGAGGAGUAGCCCGGAGAUGGGUACUGAGACACGGACCCAGGCCCUAUGGGGCGCAGCAGGCGAGAAAACUUUGCAAUGUGCGAAAGCACGACAAGGUUAAUCCGAGUGGUUUCUGCUAAAGGAACCUUUUGUUUGUCAUAGAACCACUAAUGAAUAAGGGGUGGGCAAGUUCUGGUGUCAGCCGCCGCGGUAAAACCAGCACCUCAAGUGGUCAGGAUGAUUAUUGGGCCUAAAGCAUCCGUAGCCGGCUUUGUUAGUUUUCGGUUAAAUCCAUACGCUCAACGUAUGGGCUGCCGGGAAUACUGCAAGGCUAGGGAGUGGGAGAGGUAGACGGUACUCGGUAGGAAGGGGUAAAAUCCUUUGAUCUAUUGAUGACCACCUGUGGCGAAGGCGGUCUACCAGAACACGUCCGACGGUGAGGGAUGAAAGCUGGGGGGAGCAAACCGGAUUAGAUACCCGGGUAGUCCCAGCUGUAAACUAUGCAAACUCGGUGAUGCAUUGGCUUGAUGCCAAUGCAGUGCCGCAGGGAAGCCGUUAAGUUUGCCGCCUGGGAAGUACGUACGC
rnacentral:rRNA from 1 species